AUUGAACGCUGGCGGCAGGCCUAACACAUGCAAGUCGAACGGUAACAGGAAGCAGCUUGCUGCUUCGCUGACGAGUGGCGGACGGGUGAGUAAUGUCUGGGAAGCUGCCUGAUGGAGGGGGAUAACUACUGGAAACGGUAGCUAAUACCGCAUAAUGUCGCAAGACCAAAGAGGGGGACCUUCGGGCCUCUUGCCAUCGGAUGUGCCCAGAUGGGAUUAGCUUGUUGGUGGGGUAACGGCUCACCAAGGCGACGAUCCCUAGCUGGUCUGAGAGGAUGACCAGCCACACUGGGACUGAGACACGGUCCAGACUCCUACGGGAGGCAGCAGUGGGGAAUAUUGGACAAUGGGCGCAAGCCUGAUGCAGCCAUGCCGCGUGUAUGAAGAAGGCCUUCGGGUUGUAAAGUACUUUCAGCGGGGAGGAAGGGAGUAAAGUUAAUACCUUUGCUCAUUGACGUUACCCGCAGAAGAAGCACCGGCUAACUCCGUG
rnacentral:rRNA from 1 species